rnacentral:tRNA from 1 species
GUUUAAAUAGCUUAUAUUUUAGAGCAUGACAUUGAAGAUGUUAUGGAGAUUGGUUAAUCUUUAAAUA